rnacentral:rRNA from 1 species
GACGAACGCUGGCGGCGUGCUUAACACAUGCAAGUCGAACGAUGAAGCCCUUUCGGGGGUGGAUUAGUGGCGAACGGGUGAGUAACACGUGGGUAACCUGCCCUGUACCCUGGGAUAAGCCUUGGAAACGAGGUCUAAUACCGGAUAUGACCUGCUCUCGCAUGGGGGUGGGUGGAAAGUUUUGGCGGUGCAGGAUGGACCCGCGGCCUAUCAGCUUGUUGGUGGGGUGAUGGCCUACCAAGGCGACGACGGGUAGCCGGCCUGAGAGGGCGACCGGCCACACUGGGACUGAGACACGGCCCAGACUCCUACGGGAGGCAGCAGUGGGGAAUAUUGCACAAUGGGCGAAAGCCUGAUGCAGCGACGCCGCGUGAGGGAUGACGGCCUCGGUUG